rnacentral:rRNA from 1 species
UAGGGAAUCUUCGGCAAUGGACGAAAGUCUGACCGAGCAACGCCGCGUGAGUGAAGAAGGUUUUCGGAUCGUAAAACUCUGUUGUUAGAGAAGAACAAGGACGUUAGUAACUGAACGUCCCCUGACGGGAUCUAACCAGAAAGCCACGGCUAACUACGUGCCAGCAGCCGCGGUAAUACGUAGGUGGCAAGCGUUGUCCGGAUUUAUUGGGCGUAAAGCGAGCGCAGGCGGUUUCUUAAGUCUGAUGUGAAGGCCCCCGGCUCAACCGGGGAGGGUCAUUGGAAACUGGGAGACUUGAGUGCAGAAGAGGAGAGUGGAAUUCCAUGUGUAGCGGUGAAAUGCGUAGAUAUAUGGAGGAACACCAGUGGCGAAGGCGGCUCUCUGGUCUGUAACUGACGCUGAGGCUCGAAAGCGUGGGGAGCAAACAGG